UAGGGAAUCUUCGGCAAUGGACGGAAGUCUGACCGAGCAACGCCGCGUGAGUGAAGAAGGUUUUCGGAUCGUAAAGCUCUGUUGUUAGAGAAGAACGUUGGUAGGAGUGGAAAAUCUACCAAGUGACGGUAACUAACCAGAAAGGGACGGCUAACUACGUGCAAGCAGCCGCGGUAAUACGAAGGUCCCGAGCGUUGUCCGGAUUUAUUGGGCGUAAAGCGAGCGCAGGCGGUUCUUUAAGUCUGAAGUUAAAGGCAGUGGCUUAACCAUUGUACGCUUUGGAAACUGGAUGACUUGAGUGCAGAAGGGGAGAGUGUAAUUCCAUGUGUAGCGGUGAAAUGCGUAGAUAUAUGGAGGAACACCGGUGGCGAAAGCGGCUCUCUGGUCUGUAACUGACGCUGAUGCUCGAAAGCGUGGGGAGCAAACAGG
rnacentral:rRNA from 1 species